rnacentral:lncRNA from 1 species
UACAUGUUGGAAAGUGGAUGACUACACAUAAAUUUCCCUGUGGAAGGUUACAGAGUCACCCUCUUCAGGAUCUGGUGGGAGCUGCUGCUGUCCCAGUUUCACAGAGGAAACUGAGGCACAAGAAAGAUAAAUAGUCAACUUCAAGCGGCUACUUCAGGUACAAGGGGUUUAUUUCCAGAAAGUUUGAGUUCAGAGCCCUGUGGCAC